rnacentral:rRNA from 1 species
UACGGAGGAUGCGAGCGUUAUCCGGAUUUAUUGGGUUUAAAGGGUGCGCAAGCGGUCUGUUAAGUCAGCGGUCAAAGCCCGGGGCUCAACCCCGGCCCGCCGUUGAAACUGGCAGUCUCGAGUUGGAGAGAAGUAUGCGGAAUGCGCGGUGUAGCGGUGAAAUGCAUAGAUAUCGCGCAGAACUCCGAUUGCGAAGGCAGCAUGCCGGCUCCACACUGACGCUGAGGCACGAAAGCGUGGGUAUCGAACAGG